GACGAACGCUGGCGGCGUGCUUAACACAUGCAAGUCGAGCGGAAAGGCCCGUUCGGGGGUACUCGAGCGGCGAACGGGUGAGUAACACGGGAGUAAUCUGCCCUGUGCUUCGGGAUAGCCACCGGAAACGGGGAUUAAUACCGGAUAUGACAUGCUCCUGCAUGGGGGUGUGUGGAAAGCUUUUUCGGCGCAGGAUGUGCUCGCGGCCUAUCAGCUUGUUGGUGGGGUAAUGGCCUAUCAAGGCGUCGACGGGUAGCCGGCCCGGGAGGGUGACCGCCCACACUGGGACUGAGACACGGCCCAGACUCCUACGGGGGGCAGCAGUGGGGAAUAUUGGACAAUGGGCGGAAGCCUGAUCCAGCAACGCCGCGUGAGGGAUGACGGCCUUCGGGUUGUAAACCUCUUUCAGCACCGACGAAGCGAGAGUGACGGUAGGUGCAGAAGAAGGACCGGCCAACUACGUGCCAGCAGCCGCCGUAACAC
rnacentral:rRNA from 1 species